GCGGAGCGGCCGGCGCCGCCGGUGCCGGACACAGCCGGUCGCAGCCGGCCCCGCCGGCCCCAGCGCAGGGCAGAGCUGAGCCCCUCAGCCACGGGCGGGCGCCUCGGGGAAAGCCUGGACUUUCAUCUACAAAGAGGAAAACUUGCGUGUGAAGUGGUCACUGUAGAAUAAAGCUUCUGGAAAUGUUAUUCCUCCCUUCAGAGUGCUAACAUCCUUCAUGACCUUGGAAGACACCUUUAUUUCUACCUUCUUUAUUUUUAAUUUUGCAAUUAUUUCUACUGGCAAUGGAGAGAAGGCACCUUUCUCUGGACACCACUAAUCCCUCCAUGAAUCCACCAUGUGCUUUUCCAGAAACCUGUGACAUAAGCCUGCAUGCAUUUCAUCUUUUCAGUAUUGGCCAGAACCAAGAGAAAGAAUGAAGUUACUACAUGUGAUAUUGCUGCCUAUUCUGCAAGUCUCUAGACAUUUACAUACGUAUCUACCACAUUUUGGUCACUGCAAAACUCUGAAACUAAUGGCAGUGGCUUUCAGAACAUGGUGCUUGUAUCAGUUUGAAUGAAAAUACUGAGCACAAGCUUGAUCAUAAUCUGUUUCAAGAGACAGAAGUACAAAACAAUCUCAAACCCAUCCAGACAGAAAUUUAAUGGUGACAUACUAAGAAGCCAUCUUGGCCAUAAGAGGACCUUCACUAAGUAAAAAUACUGUGACCCUACCUCUGAAAGUAUCAAAUGAACUUCUGUAAGCAGGAAGACAAAAAUAAUAGAAAAAUGGCUAAAUGCCAAGAGUACAACCAGAUGGUUGUGAGCAUUGGGAACAGUAAAUGAACACCGGGCAGUGAACAAAUAGAUAAAUGACAGAUGCAGAAUGUGCCUAGAAGUACUUCAUUGAACUGCCUUGGGAAAGGCAUUUGAGAAAGGCUUGCGGAGAAAAAUGAGGAUUAUGUCUUCUCACAAUACUACUUUCGUGUGUGUGUGAAAUAAUACUUCAUUUUAGAUUUUGCAUAUGGACCUAGAAUUUCAAUCUAAACAACAUUUUUUUUAAUCUGUCAUGUUAUCUCUAAGUAGACAUUUAGGCAUAACCCAUUCAGUUUCUAGAAAGAUCAAACCACUGCAGUGCCAAGAUUUAUUAGGGUUUAACAGAACAUGCUUGAUGUCUGUGUAGCUAAUACUAUAAACAACAAAUGAGUUCUCUAUUGACCAGGAGUUCCUUAGAUGAAAUACUCAGUAUGCCUUUGAAGGAAUUGGGCUCAUGAGACUCCUUUAGUGCUCAUCCCACCUUGUUGAAUUUCACAUGAAUUUAAAAAUAAUAAUUGUUUGCAUAGCUGAAUAAUUAUGCUGCUUUGACUGACUAAUUGCUUAUAUAACAGGUUCAAUCUAAGGUUUUUAAGUAUGAGUAUGAUCACAUGUUUCAACCUUUCUAAAAGGCUUAUUAAGAGGAAGAUGACCAUCAGCUGGUUUGAACACUAACUGGGUAAUUACAAAGCUACUUUAGAAACAAAGGAGUCAGCCUGAAAAGUAACCAUAAAAGAAGCAAAGAAUUGAGAAUUAGUGACACCUCAGAGAGAAAACAGCAGCAGUCAGCCCCUGUUUUGACACUGCUGGUGGUCAUUCCACAAGCAUCACAAUCUCUGCCUAGGGCUGAUGCUGCAGCCUCCCUGUGGGGCUCUGGGAGAAGACUGCAGACAGCUAGGACAGCAACUGCAGAACACAGCAAGCAGGAACCCACAUCUUGGCAUGAGUAGGAACUUGUGAAGAGGUUCCUUACUUUACUGGUGGGCAGAUGGUAAGAAGCAGCAUGGGAACACACAGAGCUGGAGCACCCACACCUCUCACAGGAUGGGUGUGCGCUCAGGGAACUUGCACUGUCCCACAGAAAAGAUGGCAUGCUGGUAGCCCAAACAUAACUGUAUGAAUAUGUGAGUGAUUAGAAUUAUUUGCGGUUAGAUAUGGAAAUAUGCUUAGAAAUUUGUAGCUGUAUUUGUAAGUGGCUAACUAGCACUGUUUACCUAUUGAAUUAUUGAUACUCAUCCUGAAUGUAUAGUUCAGUGGUUGCCUGCAAUUAUGUAUUGUUAAGAAAUCAAUAAACUACUUCUGUCCUGA